UACGUAGGGAGCAAGCGUUGUCCGGAAUCAUUGGGCGUAAAGAGCUCGUAGGCGGCUUGUCGCGUCGACUGUGAAAACCCGCGGCUCAACUGCGGGCCUGCAGCCGAUACGGGCAGGCUAGAGUUCGGUAGGGGAGACUGGAAUUCCUGGUGUAGCGGUGAAAUGCGCAGAUAUCAGGAGGAACACCGGUGGCGAAGGCGGAUCUCUGGGCCUUACCUGACGCUCAGGUGCGAAAGCUAGGGGAGCGAACAGG
rnacentral:rRNA from 1 species